UGCCCGGGUGGCGGAAUGGUAGACGCAAGGGACUUAAAAUCCCUCGGUAUUUUUUACCGUACCGGUUCAAGUCCGGUUUCGGGCACCAU
rnacentral:tRNA from 2 species